UACGUAGGUAGCAAGCGUUAUCCGGAAUUAUUGGGCGUAAAGAGCGCGCAGGUGGUUGAUUAAGUCUGAUGUGAAAGCCCACGGCUUAACCGUGGAGGGUCAUUGGAAACUGGUCGACUUGAGUGCAGAAGAGGGAAGUGGAAUUCCAUGUGUAGCGGUGAAAUGCGUAGAGAUAUGGAGGAACACCAGUGGCGAAGGCGGCUUCCUGGUCUGUAACUGACACUGAGGCGCGAAAGCGUGGGGAGCAAACAGGAUUAGAUA
rnacentral:rRNA from 1 species